rnacentral:rRNA from 1 species
GAUGAACGCUGGCGGCGUGCCUAAUACAUGCAAGUCGAGCGAACAGACGAGGAGCUUGCUCCUCUGACGUUAGCGGCAGACGGGUGAGUAACACGUGGAUAACCUACCUAUAAGACUGGGAUAACUUCGGGAAACCGGAGCUAAUACCGGAUAAUAUAUUGAACCGCAUGGUUCAAUAGUGAAAGACGGUUUUGCUGUCACUUAUAGAUGGAUCCGCGCCGCAUUAGCUAGUUGGUAAGGUAACGGCUUACCAAGGCAACGAUGCGUAGCCGACCUGAGAGGGAGGUCUGCAAGACUGGAGAUGAGACGCCGAGCAGACUCCUACGGGAGGGAGCAGUAGGGACUCUUCCGCCAAGGGCGGAAGCCUGACGGAGCAGCGCCGCGGGAGUGAUGAAGGCCUUCGGAGCGAAAAACUCUGUUAUUAGGGAAGAACAAGUGUGUAAAUAACGAUGGCCGUGUUGACGGAAGCUAAGAAGAAGGCCACGGGUACGUACGGGC